AGAGUUUGAUCCUGGCUCAGGACGAACGCUGGCGGCGCGCCUAACACAUGCAAGUCGAACGAGAGAGAGAAGCUUGCUUUCUCAAUCGAGUGUCGAACGGGUGAGUAACGCGUGAGGAACCUGCCUCAAAGAGGGGGACAACAGUUGGAAACGACUGCUAAUACCGCAUAAGCCCACAGGUCGGCAUCGACCAGAGGGAAAAGGAGCAAUCCGCUUUGAGAUGGCCUCGCGUCCGAUUAGCUAGUUGGUGAGGUAACGGCCCACCAAGGCGACGAUCGGUAGCCGGACUGAGAGGUUGAACGGCCACAUUGGGACUGAGACACGGCCCAGACUCCUACGGGAGGCAGCAGUGGGGAAUAUUGCACAAUGGGGGAAACCCUGAUGCAGCGACGCCGCGUGGAGGAAGAAGGUCUUCGGAUUGUAAACUCCUGUUGUUGAGGAAGAUAAUGACGGUACUCAACAAGGAAGUGACGGCUAACUACGUGCCAGCAGCCGCGGU
rnacentral:rRNA from 1 species